UGGUAGAGCAUCGCAUUCGUAAUGCGGGGGUCGCGUGUUCGAGUCACGCAGGCGGCACCA
rnacentral:tRNA from 1 species